rnacentral:rRNA from 1 species
ACACAUGCAGUCGAACGGGAAACCUUUUAUUGAAGCUUCGGCAGAUUUAGAUUGUUUCUAGUGGCGGACGGGUGAGUAACGCGUGGGUAACCUGCCUUAUACAGGGGGAUAACAGUCAGAAAUGACUGCUAAUACCGCAUAAGCGCACAGAGCUGCAUGGCUCAGUGUGAAAAACUCCGGUGGUAUAAGAUGGACCCGCGUUGGAUUAGCUAGUUGGUGGGGUAACGGCCCACCAAGGCGACGAUCCAUAGCCGGCCUGAGAGGGUGAACGGCCACAUUGGGACUGAGACACGGCCCAGACUCCUACGGGAGGCAGCAGUGGGGAAUAUUGCACAAUGGGGGAAACCCUGAUGCAGCGACGCCGCGUGAAGGAAGAAGUAUCUCGGUAUGUAAACUUCUAUCAGCAGGGAAGAAAAUGACGGUACCUGACUAAGAAGCCCCGGCUAACUACGUGCCAGCAGCCGCGGUAAUACGUAGGGGGCAAGCGUUAUCCGGAUUUACUGGGUGUAAAGGGAGCGUAGACGGAUGGACAAGUCUGAUGUGAAAGGCUGGGGCUCAACCCCGGGACUGCAUUGGAAACUGCCCGUCUUGAGUGCCGGAGAGGUGAGCGGAAUUCCUAGUGUAGCGGUGAAAUGCGUAGAUAUUAGGAGGAACACCAGUGGCGAAGGCGGCUUACUGGACGGUAACUGACGUUGAGGCUCGAAAGCGUGGGGAGCAAACAGGAUUAGAUACCCUGGUAGUCCACGCGGUAAACGAUGAAUGCUAGGUGUCGGGUGACAAAGUCAUUCGGUGCCGCCGCAAACGCAUUAAGCAUUCCACCUGGGGAGUACGUUCGCAAGGAUGAAACUUAGAGGAAUUGACGGGGACCCG